rnacentral:rRNA from 1 species
UACGGAGGGUGCAAGCGUUAUCCGGAUUUAUUGGGCUUAAAGGGUGCGUAGGCGGCUCUGUAAGUCAGUGGUGAAAUCUCACAGCUUAACUGUGAAACUGCCAUUGAUACUGCAGGUCUUGAGUGUUAUUGAAGUAGCUGGAAUAAGUAGUGUAGCGGUGAAAUGCAUAGAUAUUACUUAGAACACCAAUUGCGAAGGCAGGUUACUAAGCAACAACUGACGCUGAUGGACGAAAGCGUGGGGAGCGAACAGG